UAUAUUUCUCAUACCAAACCGGGCAGAGAAGCUGGAAACGGCAGAGGAGUGAAAGAAGAAAGAAAAGAAAAGAGAAAGGAAGAAAAAGAAGAAGAAAAAGGAAAAAGAGGAGGAGAAAAAGGAAGGAAAAUAGAUUUAAGAGGCUAAGAGUACAAAUUGGAGCUCAAGUUUGUUGAUUCUUUAAUCUCCAAUUUCAUUAAGGUGAUGACGUGAAAGUUUUACAAGGCUGGUCAAUUUGACCGGAUUGUUAUCCAUAGAUCUUGCACUGAGGGUUUACGGCCGUGUACUAGAGUCAUGUAUUUAACUCUUAUCCACUGAGGGGCUACGGCCGUGGAUAAAGGUAUCCAAUAUACAUUGAGGGGCUACAGCCGUGUGUAAGGGUAACUCUUAUCCACCGAGGGGCUACGGCCAUGGAUAAAGGUGGUUUUAGUCCAUAUUUUAGAGGAGACUGUCAAAAUUCUUUAAAAUUUCCUCACAGUCAGACAAGUCAUGGUUGCCUUGGUGGUGGGUCAAGUACUCAGCUGAUAUCUACCAUCGACGCACGAUACGUGUUGGAUCCAUUAAGGUCAUUCGGGACGGGUCGUGUCAGCCAGUCUCGAUUACCAGUUGGAUUUUUUAGGAUGAGUAAUUUUCUUUUCUAUUUCUUUUCAACGUUCUACCCUUGAUCAUUUGGAGAUGCUGGGAAUAAGUUGGUGAAGGGUAUCUAUUAAGCUUCCAGCAAGUUUUCUUUCAUAUUCUUUCAUGAUUAAGCAAUUGUUGAUUGAUCUCCAUUUACAAAUUUUAGAUAUGAGACAAUUUGGCUUUA